UCCGUUAUGGUGUAGUGGCUAACAUUAUCCCCUUUCAUGCGGGCAAGCGAUAAGGUGCGCGGUAGCCCCUGCAGGGUUCGAUUCCCUGUAACGGAA